GGGUUGUGAGGUUAAGCGACUAAGCGUACACGGUGGAUGCCCUGGCAGUCAGAGGCGAUGAAGGGCGUGCUAAUCUGCGAUAAGCGCCGGUAAGGUGAUAUGAACCGUUAUAACCGGCGAUACCCGAAUGGGGAAACCCAGUGUGAUUCGUCACACUAUCAUUAACUGAAUCCAUAGGUUAAUGAGGCGAACCGGGGGAACUGAAACAUCUAAGUACCCCGAGGAAAAGAAAUCAACCGAGAUUCCCCCAGUAGCGGCGAGCGAACGGGGAGGAGCCCAGAGCCUGAAUCAGCAUGUGUGUUAGUGGAAGCGUCUGGAAAGGCGCGCGAUACAGGGUGACAGCCCCGUACACAAAAGCGCAUGUGCUGUGAGCUCGAUGAGUAGGGCGGGACACGUGGUAUCCUGUCUGAAUAUGGGGGGACCAUCCUCCAAGGCUAAAUACUCCUGACUGACCGAUAGUGAACCAGUACCGUGAGGGAAAGGCGAAAAGAACCCCGGCGAGGGGAGUGAAAAAGAACCUGAAACCGUGUACGUACAAGCAGUGGGAGCACAGGUUUACCUGUGUGACUGCGUACCUUUUGUAUAAUGGGUCAGCGACUUAUAUUCUGUAGCAAGGUUAACCGAAUAGGGGAGCCGGAGGGAAACCGAGUCUUAAUUGGGCGUUAAGUUGCAGGGUAUAGACCCGAAACCCGGUGAUCUAGCCAUGGGCAGGUUGAAGGUUGGGUAACACUAACUGGAGGACCGAACCGACUAAUGUUGAAAAAUUAGCGGAUGACCUGUGGCUGGGGGUGAAAGGCCAAUCAAACCGGGAGAUAGCUGGUUCUCCCCGAAAGCUAUUUAGGUAGCGCCUCGUGAAUUCAUCUCCGGGGGUAGAGCACUGUUUCGGCUAGGGGGCCAUCCCGGCUUACCAACCCGAUGCAAACUGCGAAUACCGGAGAAUGUUAUCACGGGAGACACACGGCGGGUGCUAACGUCCGUCGUGAAGAGGGAAACAACCCAGACCGCCAGCUAAGGUCCCAAAGUCAUGGUUAAGUGGGAAACGAUGUGGGAAGGCCCAGACAGCCAGGAUGUUGGCUUAGAAGCAGCCAUCAUUUAAAGAAAGCGUAAUAGCUCACUGGUCGAGUCGGCCUGCGCGGAAGAUGUAACGGGGCUAAACCAUGCACCGAAGCUGCGGCAGCGANNGUUGGGUAGGGGAGCGUUCUGUAAGCCUGUGAAGGUGGCCUGUGAGGGUUGCUGGAGGUAUCAGAAGUGCGAAUGCUGACAUAAGUAACGAUAAAGCGGGUGAAAAGCCCGCUCGCCGGAAGACCAAGGGUUCCUGUCCAACGUUAAUCGGGGCAGGGUGAGUCGACCCCUAAGGCGAGGCCGAAAGGCGUAGUCGAUGGGAAACGGGUUAAUAUUCCCGUACUUGGUGUUACUGCGAAGGGGGGACGGAGAAGGCUAUGUUGGCCGGGCGACGGUUGUCCCGGUUUAAGCGUGUAGGUGUGUGUUCCAGGUAAAUCCGGUUCACUUUAACACUGAGGCGUGAUGACGAGGCACUACGGUGCUGAAGUAACAAAUGCCCUGCUUCCAGGAAAAGCCUCUAAGCAUCAGGUAACAUCAAAUCGUACCCCAAACCGACACAGGUGGUCAGGUAGAGAAUACCAAGGCGCUUGAGAGAACUCGGGUGAAGGAACUAGGCAAAAUGGUGCCGUAACUUCGGGAGAAGGCACGCUGACACGUAGGUGAAGUGAUUUACUCAUGGAGCUGAAGUCAGUCGAAGAUACCAGCUGGCUGCAACUGUUUAUUAAAAACACAGCACUGUGCAAACACGAAAGUGGACGUAUACGGUGUGACGCCUGCCCGGUGCCGGAAGGUUAAUUGAUGGGGUCAGCGCAAGCGAAGCUCCUGAUCGAAGCCCCGGUAAACGGCGGCCGUAACUAUAACGGUCCUAAGGUAGCGAAAUUCCUUGUCGGGUAAGUUCCGACCUGCACGAAUGGCGUAAUGAUGGCCAGGCUGUCUCCACCCGAGACUCAGUGAAAUUGAACUCGCUGUGAAGAUGCAGUGUACCCGCGGCAAGACGGAAAGACCCCGUGAACCUUUACUAUAGCUUGACACUGAACAUUGAGCCUUGAUGUGUAGGAUAGGUGGGAGGCUUUGAAGUGUGGACGCCAGUCUGCAUGGAGCCGACCUUGAAAUACCACCCUUUAAUGUUUGAUGUUCUAACGUGGACCCGUGAUCCGGGUUGCGGACAGUGUCUGGUGGGUAGUUUGACUGGGGCGGUCUCCUCCUAAAGAGUAACGGAGGAGCACGAAGGUUGGCUAAUCCUGGUCGGACAUCAGGAGGUUAGUGCAAUGGCAUAAGCCAGCUUGACUGCGAGCGUGACGGCGCGAGCAGGUGCGAAAGCAGGUCAUAGUGAUCCGGUGGUUCUGAAUGGAAGGGCCAUCGCUCAACGGAUAAAAGGUACUCCGGGGAUAACAGGCUGAUACCGCCCAAGAGUUCAUAUCGACGGCGGUGUUUGGCACCUCGAUGUCGGCUCAUCACAUCCUGGGGCUGAAGUAGGUCCCAAGGGUAUGGCUGUUCGCCAUUUAAAGUGGUACGCGAGCUGGGUUUAGAACGUCGUGAGACAGUUCGGUCCCUAUCUGCCGUGGGCGCUGGAGAACUGAGGGGGGCUGCUCCUAGUACGAGAGGACCGGAGUGGACGCAUCACUGGUGUUCGGGUUGUCAUGCCAAUGGCACUGCCCGGUAGCUAAAUGCGGAAGAGAUAAGUGCUGAAAGCAUCUAAGCACGAAACUUGCCCCGAGAUGAGUUCUCCCUGAGACUU
rnacentral:rRNA from 1 species